rnacentral:rRNA from 1 species
CCCUUAGACGUUCUGGGCCGCACGCGCGCUACACUGACCAGUGCAACAAGCAUCCGUCCUUGGCCGACAGGCCCGGGCAAUCUUUGAACGCUGGUCGUGAUGGGGAUAGACUUUUGCAAUUUUUGGUCUUCAACGAGGAAUUCCUAGUAAACGCAAGUCAUCAACUUGCAUUGAUUACGUCCCUGCCCUUUGUACACACCGCCCGUCGCACCGACCGAUUGAAUGGUCCGGUGAAGCCUCCGGAUUGGCGCGCACCUCGGUGCCGCCGAGAAGUUGGCUAAACCUUACCAUUUAGAGGAAGGUGAAGUCGUANCA